GGAGGAAGGGGGCGGGCCAAAUCUGAUGGGAGAGCUGGCAGGAGGUCGCUCGGUCCUUCUGCUAGCUGGAAGCGGGGCCGGGCUGGGAAGGGUUAACCGCGGCAGCCUCAGCAGCAGCAGCUCCUCUUCUUCGGUGCUCCCCGCAGAGCCUGCUGUGGCCUUUGAGGAGGAGACGCUGCUAAUGCAUCGCGCGCAAGCCCCCUCUCCCGCCACUGCCACUGUGGGCUGCUGCAGACGCUGCGAAGGAGGACGGCAGCCUUUGCUGAGAUCUGCCUAGCAAGCGGCGCCCGGGAACCCGCGGAGGGAGCGAGGGAGCCUUCCUUCCCAACCGCCUCCUCCUCCUCCUCCUCCUGGCUCCUCAGGUGCUGCCGCGCUUGGGCUCGCCCGGGGGCUUGCGGACAACAGAACAGUGCUUCUGGUACACGCCCAAGGAUUCGCCAUGCGUCUCCACCUGUUGAGAGAUGUUCCGGAACCCCAAGACUGCCCAAUUUCCGUCCUGGUGAUGCGUCAGUGAUGAUGCGAAGCUCUUGGUUUUUCUGC